ensembl:lncRNA
GGUUGGGUUAGCCUGCUGUCUGUUCUGAGGUGUAAACUGGGACGGUUGGGUUAGCUGUCUGUCCUGAGGUGUAAACUGGGACGGUUGGGUUAGCUGUCUGUUCUGAGGUGUAAACUGGGAUGGUUGGGUUAGCUGUCUGUCCUGAGGUGUAAACUGGGAUGGUUGGGAUAGCUGUCUGUCCUGAGGUGUAAACUGGGACGGUUGGGUUAGCUGUCUGUCCUGAGGUGUAAACUGGGAUGGUUGGGUUAGCUGUCUGUCCUGAGGUGUAAACUGGGAUGGUUGGGUUAGCUGUCUGUCCUGAGGUGUAAACUGGGACGGUUGUGUUAGCUGUCUUUCCUGAGGUGUAAACUGGGACAGUUGGGUUAGCUGUCUGUCCU